rnacentral:rRNA from 1 species
GGGUUGUGAGGUUAAGCGACUAAGCGUACACGGUGGAUGCCCUGGCAGUCAGAGGCGAUGAAGGACGUGCUAAUCUGCGAUAAGCGUCGGUAAGGUGAUAUGAACCGUUAUAACCGGCGAUUUCCGAAUGGGGAAACCCAGUGUGAUUCGUCACACUAUCAUUAACUGAAUCCAUAGGUUAAUGAGGCGAACCGGGGGAACUGAAACAUCUAAGUACCCCGAGGAAAAGAAAUCAACCGAGAUUCCCCCAGUAGCGGCGAGCGAACGGGGAGCAGCCCAGAGCCUGAAUCAGUGUGUGUGUUAGUGGAAGCGUCUGGAAAGGCGCGCGAUACAGGGUGACAGCCCCGUACACAAAAAUGCACAUGCUGUGAGCUCGAUGAGUAGGGCGGGACACGUGGUAUCCUGUCUGAAUAUGGGGGGACCAUCCUCCAAGGCUAAAUACUCCUGACUGACCGAUAGUGAACCAGUACCGUGAGGGAAAGGCGAAAAGAACCCCGGCGAGGGGAGUGAAAAAGAACCUGAAACCGUGUACGUACAAGCAGUGGGAGCACGCUUAGGCGUGUGACUGCGUACCUUUUGUAUAAUGGGUCAGCGACUUAUAUUCUGUAGCAAGGUUAACCGAAUAGGGGAGCCGAAGGGAAACCGAGUCUUAACUGGGCGUUAAGUUGCAGGGUAUAGACCCGAAACCCGGUGAUCUAGCCAUGGGCAGGUUGAAGGUUGGGUAACACUAACUGGAGGACCGAACCGACUAAUGUUGAAAAAUUAGCGGAUGACUUGUGGCUGGGGGUGAAAGGCCAAUCAAACCGGGAGAUAGCUGGUUCUCCCCGAAAGCUAUUUAGGUAGCGCCUCGUGAAUUCAUCUCCGGGGGUAGAGCACUGUUUCGGCAAGGGGGUCAUCCCGACUUACCAACCCGAUGCAAACUGCGAAUACCGGAGAAUGUUAUCACGGGAGACACACGGCGGGUGCUAACGUCCGUCGUGAAGAGGGAAACAACCCAGACCGCCAGCUAAGGUCCCAAAGUCAUGGUUAAGUGGGAAACGAUGUGGGAAGGCCCAGACAGCCAGGAUGUUGGCUUAGAAGCAGCCAUCAUUUAAAGAAAGCGUAAUAGCUCACUGGUCGAGUCGGCCUGCGCGGAAGAUGUAACGGGGCUAAACCAUGCACCGAAGCUGCGGCAGCGACGCUGAUGCGUUGUUGGGUAGGGGAGCGUUCUGUAAGCCUGCGAAGGUGUGCUGUGAGGCAUGCUGGAGGUAUCAGAAGUGCGAAUGCUGACAUAAGUAACGAUAAAGCGGGUGAAAAGCCCGCUCGCCGGAAGACCAAGGGUUCCUGUCCAACGUUAAUCGGGGCAGGGUGAGUCGACCCCUAAGGCGAGGCCGAAAGGCGUAGUCGAUGGGAAACAGGUUAAUAUUCCUGUACUUGGUGUUACUGCGAAGGGGGGACGGAGAAGGCUAUGUUGGCCGGGCGACGGUUGUCCCGGUUUAAGCGUGUAGGCUGGUUUUCCAGGCAAAUCCGGAAAAUCAAGGCUGAGGCGUGAUGACGAGGCACUACGGUGCUGAAGCAACAAAUGCCCUGCUUCCAGGAAAAGCCUCUAAGCAUCAGGUAACAUCAAAUCGUACCCCAAACCGACACAGGUGGUCAGGUAGAGAAUACCAAGGCGCUUGAGAGAACUCGGGUGAAGGAACUAGGCAAAAUGGUGCCGUAACUUCGGGAGAAGGCACGCUGAUAUGUAGGUGAAGUCCCUCGCGGAUGGAGCUGAAAUCAGUCGAAGAUACCAGCUGGCUGCAACUGUUUAUUAAAAACACAGCACUGUGCAAACACGAAAGUGGACGUAUACGGUGUGACGCCUGCCCGGUGCCGGAAGGUUAAUUGAUGGGGUCAGCGCAAGCGAAGCUCUUGAUCGAAGCCCCGGUAAACGGCGGCCGUAACUAUAACGGUCCUAAGGUAGCGAAAUUCCUUGUCGGGUAAGUUCCGACCUGCACGAAUGGCGUAAUGAUGGCCAGGCUGUCUCCACCCGAGACUCAGUGAAAUUGAACUCGCUGUGAAGAUGCAGUGUACCCGCGGCAAGACGGAAAGACCCCGUGAACCUUUACUAUAGCUUGACACUGAACAUUGAGCCUUGAUG